rnacentral:lncRNA from 1 species
GGGGAAGACGAAUAGAGGAUGUGGGUGGGGAGGGGGCCGUUGUAAAGAGGAAGCCCCACCAGAGAGGUGUCCUUGGAGUGAGGACCCGGGAGGAGGCUGCUGAGUUGAGAACAGACUGAGGCGGGAGAGGGACCAAUCCACAGCCCAGGUGAGCAAGGACGCAGCUGCCAGCCCCAGGCUGGUGAUGACAGAGGUCGCGAAAGCCUUCGGGUUCUAGAUGUAUUUUCAAAGAGGAGUGGGGGAAUGGAAACCAAGUCUCUGAGGAGUUUUGGGGGCCUGGUUUAUGGAAGUCCCUGUGCUGGAGGAAUGAGACCCUGUCCACACGCUGUGCUCUCUGAUGGGCCUUGUCCUCACAGCAACGCUACAUCUCAAGGAGCCCGAGGUGAAGGAUGCUGCAAAUGCAGGAAGCAGCUUCUGCAGUCACCCUAGGCUGGAAAGGGGGCGCAUUCCCGGAUGCCAGACCACUUAGGUCACUCCAGACCUGGGUUCAGUCCUGCCACUUCCCUGCUAAGACCCUCCCGAGGCUCCCCAUUGCCCAUAGGAACAAGUCUUAUCUCUGUAGCCCAAAGGUCAAUGUCAUCUUCAUUCAAGCCCAAACAUAUUUUCAGUUUCAUUUCCCAGUCUUCCCUCCAAAUUUAACACUCCUCUGUGACCCCACCUGGACACAUCCACUCCUGGCUGCCCACCAGUACUGGGCCUAGAACUGGGCAAGGGGCCCCUGCUCUGGACCCCACCCUUUAUGUGGCUCCUCCUCUGGCCACACCCUUCUCCUUGGAGCAAGCAGUCUACAGGGCCACGAGGAAGAGCCCAGCCGGGGCCUGCAUACCCCACUCCAUGCCACACUCCAGCAUCCGGAACC